AGGUUAACAGGCACAUAAACACCCUGUAAUCGCAUAAGGACUCCCCAGAACGUCUUCCGGACAGCUAUAUUUUACGUAAACUGCUGCUUUCAUGCAACCUCAGCUAGCGUUGUGCUGCUCUUUACAGGAUGGGGUGAGUGGUGUUGUCUUUGGCUGUGUGGGCUUAAAUGUGUUUCUAACGUGCAUGUCAAAUAAUUACCUGUUAAACAGACUGCCAAUCUGGCUGAAGCCAGUGCUUCUGAAGAAGAUGAAAUAAAAGCUUUGGUGAUACAGUCCUGCCAUGAAUACGAUCCAAUCAAUUACAUGAAGAAACCCUUGGGUCCGCCUCCACCAUCAUAUACUUGCUUUCGUUGAGGAAGACCUGGCCACUGCAUAAAUAACUGCCCAACAAAUGGGGACAAAAAUUUUGAGUCUGUUCCCAGAAUUAAAAAGAGCACAGGAAUUCCACAGAGUUUCAUGAUAGAGGUGGAAGAUGCCAAUACAAAGGGUGCUAUGCUGACAAGCUCUGGAAAAUAUGGAAUGCCAACUAUUAAUACGGAAGCUUCUGCUAGAGAAAAGAAGGAAAAGCCUCCCUUUUUGCCAGAGGAGCCGUCCCCCUCCUCAGAUGAUCCUGUUCCAGACGAGUUGUUAUGUCUCAUGUGUAAGGAUCUAAUGACUGAUGCAGCUGUUAUUCCCUGCUGUGGAAACAGUUGUUGUGAUUAAUAUAAGUGUUACUCCCAUAUUUGUUGAUUCAAAACAUCACAUCUGAUCUUCUGAAAGCAGAAAGAGGAGAUAACGAAAUAACUUUGUUACCAGUUCUAUUUAAUAUUUAAUACGAAUUGAAUACGAAAGCGCUCUUCUCGUAUAGAGGGCAAAAAAAAGCCAGGAAGCUUUUCCCCCUUUUUUACGUAUCUAGUUAAAUCUUCUUUACAUGCGGAAGGACGAGUAUGAGAAGAGUGGCUAACUGUGCAGGUGAUUACAGUGUUAGAUAUUGAAUGCGUUUAGUUUGUCCACAGCUCUUUCUCUCAUACUAAAUUAUAUAGCCAACUCUGGGGACUUUUGGUGGUCUGCAAGAAGCGGAUAGUUAGGCAUUUAAUCCACAUUCUUCUCCACGGGAGAGUUGGUUAAAACCUUCAGAACUCAAACCUACUAAUGUUUUUUUGAGACGUGUUUUAUUCAUUAACCUUGAGGUUGGGGACUUCUCACUGUACUAGAUAGUGGGAAAAAGACUAGUUGAAACAUCA